GCCAGGUGUGGUGGCGUGCACCUGUAGUCCCAGCUACUUGGGAAGCUGAGGCAGGAGAAUUGCUUGAGCCCAGGAGUUCGAGGCUGCAGUGAGCUGUGAUAGCACCACUGCACUCCAGCCUGGGCAACAGAGCAAGAUCCUGUCUCAA
rnacentral:SRP_RNA from 1 species